rnacentral:tRNA from 1 species
GAGGGUAUAGCUCAGUGGUAGAGUGCAUGCUUAGCACGCACGAGGUCCUGGGUUCAAUCCCCAGUAUCUCCA